rnacentral:rRNA from 1 species
UACGUAGGGUGCAAGCGUUGUCCGGAUUUAUUGGGCGUAAAGAGCGUGUAGGCGGUUCGGUAAGUCUGUCGUGAAAUCCUGAGGCUCAACCUCGGGCGUGCGAUGGAUACUGCCGGGCUAGAGGGUGGUAGAGGCGAGUGGAAUUCCUGGUGUAGCGGUGAAAUGCGCAGAUAUCAGGAAGAACACCUAUGGCGAAGGCAGCACUCUGGGACGGUACUGACGCUGAGACGCGAAAGCGUGGGGAGCGAACAGG